UACGUAGGGUCCGAGCGUUGUCCGGAAUUAUUGGGCGUAAAGGGCUCGUAGGCGGUUUGUUGCGUCGGGAGUGAAAACUUACAGCUUAACUGUGAGCGUGCUUCCGAUACGGGCAGACUUGAGGUAUUCAGGGGAGAACGGAAUUCCUGGUGUAGCGGUGAAAUGCGCAGAUAUCAGGAGGAACACCAGUGGCGAAGGCGGGUCUCUGGGCCGAUACUGACGCUGAGGAGCGAAAGCGUGGGGAGCGAACAGG
rnacentral:rRNA from 1 species